GACGAACGCUGGCGGCGUGCUUAACACAUGCAAGUCGAACGGAAAGGCCCUGCUUUUGUGGGGUGCUCGAGUGGCGAACGGGUGAGUAGCACGUGAGUAACCUGCCCUUGACUUUGGGAUAACUUCAGGAAACUGGGGCUAAUACCGGAUAGGAGCUCCUGCUGCAUGGUGGGGGUUGGAAAGUUUCGGCGGUUGGGGAUGGACUCGCGGCUUAUCAGCUUGUUGGUGGGGUAGUGGCUUACCAAGGCUUUGACGGGUAGCCGGCCUGAGAGGGUGACCGGCCACAUGGGGACUGAGAUACGGCCCAGACUCCUACGGGAGGCAGCAGUGGGGAAUAUUGCACAAUGGGCGGAAGCCUGAUGCAGCAACGCCGCGUGCGGGAUGACGGCCUUCGGGUUGUAAACCGCUUUCGCCUGUGACGAAGCGUGAGUGACGGUAAUGGGUAAAGAAGCACCGGCUAACUACGUG
rnacentral:rRNA from 1 species